rnacentral:tRNA from 3 species
GUGCUCGUGGCGCAACUGGAUAGCGCAUUUGAUUCCGAAUCAAAAGGUUGUGGGUUCAAUUCCCAUCGAGCACACCA